rnacentral:rRNA from 1 species
UACGGAGGGUGCAAACGUUGUCCGGAAUUACUGGGCGUAAAGAGCAUGUAGGUGGUUUGGUAAGUGGGCGAUUAAAGACCGACGCUCAACGUCGGGAAUGUUGCCCAUACUGCCUUACUUGAGGAAAGCAGGGGCAAGCGGAACUUUAGGUGUAGGGGUGAAAUCCGUAGAUAUCUAAAGGAACACCAAUGGCGAAGGCAGCUUGCUGGGCUUUAUCUGACACUGAGAUGCGAAAGCGUGGGGAGCGAUCGGG